AUAUCAAUAAGCGGAGGAAAAGAAACCAACAGGGAUUGCCUUAGUAACGGCGAGUGAAGCGGCAAAAGCUCAAAUUUGAAAUCUGGCACCUUCGGUGUCCGAGUUGUAAUUUGAAGAAGGUAACUUUGGAGUCAGCUCUUGUCUAUGUUCCUUGGAACAGGACGUCACAGAGGGUGAGAAUCCCGUGCGAUGAGAUGUCUGAUUCUAUGUAAAGUGCUUUCGAAGAGUCGAGUUGUUUGGGAAUGCAGCUCUAAGUGGGUGGUAAAUUCCAUCUAAAGCUAAAUAUUGGCGAGAGACCGAUAGCGAACAAGUACAGUGAUGGAAAGAUGAAAAGAACUUUGAAAAGAGAGUGAAAAAGUACGUGAAAUUGUUGAAAGGGAAGGGUUUGAGAUCAGACUUGGUAUUUUGUAUGUCUUGCUUUCGGGUGGGGCCUCUACAGUUUACUGGGCCAGCAUCGGUUUGGACGGUAGGAUAAUGACAUUGGAAUGUGGCACCACUUCGGUGGUGUGUUAUAGACUUUGUUGAUACUGCCUGUCUAGACCGAGGACUGCGUCUUUGACUAGGAUGCUGGCAUAAUGAUCUUAAACCGC
rnacentral:rRNA from 2 species